GCCAGUGUGGCAUAGUGGUUUGAGUGUGCUGGCCUACAACUCUAGAGACCAGAGUUUGAUUCCCAGAUCAGCCA